GCCGAGAUAGCUCAACGGUAGAGCAAUUGUUUUGUAAACAAUAGGUCCCGAGUUCGAAUCUCGGUCUCGGCUCAA
rnacentral:tRNA from 2 species